rnacentral:rRNA from 1 species
UACGUAGGUGGCAAGCGUUUGUCCGGAUUUACUGGGCGUAAAGAGCGCGCAGGUGGUCAUUCAAGUCGAGUGUGAAAGCCCCCGGCUCAACUGGGGAGGGUCACUCGAUACUGUUUGACUCGAAGGCGGGAGAGGGAAGUGGAAUUCCCGGUGUAGUGGUGAAAUGCGUAGAUAAUCGGGGAGGAACACCAGUGGCGAAGGCGACUUCCUGGCCCGUUCUUGACGCUGAGGCGCGAAAGCUAGGGGAGCAAACGGG